AUUGAACGCUGGCGGCAGGCCUAACACAUGCAAGUCGAGCGGAUGAAGGGAGCUUGCUCCUGGAUUUCGCGGCGGACGGGUGUGUAAUGCCUAUGAAUCUGCCUGGUAGUGGGGGAUAACGUCCGGAAACGGGUGCUAAUACCGCAUACGUCGUGCGGGAGAAAGUUGGGGAUCUUCGGACCUCACGCUAUCAGAUGAGCCUAGGUCGGAUUAGCUAGUUGGUGGGGUAAAGGCCUACCAAGGCGACGAUCCGUAACUGGUCUGAGAGGAUGAUCAGUCACACUGGAACUGAGACACGGUCCAGACUACUAAGAGAGGCAGCAGUGGGGAAUAUUGGACAAUGGGCGAAAGCCUGAUCCAGCCAUGCCGCGUGUGUGAAGAAGGUCUUCGGAUUGUAAAGCACUUUAAGUUGGGAGGAAGGGCAGUAAGUUAAUACCUAGCUGUUUUGACGUUACCAACAGAAUAAGCACCGGCUAACUUCGUG
rnacentral:rRNA from 1 species